rnacentral:rRNA from 1 species
GUCUGUAUGAAGGUGUAUGGAGUCUAGCCUGCCCACUGAUAAGAGUUAAAGGGCCGCGGUAUCCUGACCGUGCGAAGGUAGCAUAAUCAUUAGUCUUUUAAUUGGAGGCUUGUAUGAAUGGUUGAACGAAAGAUAGGCUGUCUCCUAAUUGAAAACUGAAUUUAACGUUUAAGUGAAAAGGCUUAAAUAAAGCAAAAAGACGAUAAGACCCUAUAAAUCUUUACACUACUACUAAAUUUAAGGUUAACUGUAAGUUAAAAAUUUCUUAAAUUUUUAUUAGUGUUCUGUUGGGGCAACAUGGAUAGAAAAAAUUAUCUGUUCUUAAAAAUUACAGAAGUAAUUGCUGAGUGAAACAAAUAAGAUCCUUUAUAGAGAUUUAGAGAUUAAGUUACUUUAGGGAUAACAGCGUUAUUUUACUUGAGAGUUCUUAUCGAAAGUAAGGUUUGCGACCUCGAUGUUGAAUUAAAAUUUCUUUAUGGUGCAGCCGCUAUAAAAGAAAGUCUGUUCGACUUUUAAAAUUUU